rnacentral:lncRNA from 1 species
GAGGAAGAAUUCUACCUGAGUUUGCCAUAAAGUGCCUGCCCUCUAGCCUCUACUCUUCCAGUUGCGGCUUAUUGCAUCACAGUAAUUGCUGUACGAAGGUCAGAAUCGCUACCUAUUGUCCAAAGCAGUCGUAAGAAGAGGUCCCAAUCCCCCACUCUUUCCGCCCUAAUGGAGGUCUCCAGUUUCGGUAAAAGUUUCAUUUGAUCUGAAUAGUAUUAAAAUAAAAUACCUGGAUGAGGAAGAUGAAGAGAGAUAAAAGGGAUACUUUCCUAACCCAGAGAGGCCAAAGGAGCACAGGACGCCCAGGCCGAGGGCAGUGAAGCUUGCAGACCCAGGCUGUGCAACCCCCACAGCAGGUCUCCUCACGGGAUAGAUAGACUAUUGGCCCCAAUUCCUCAGCCCUACAUGCACCCACCCCUUGCCAUGGUUUCGUUGUGGGUGGAGGGUACUUUCCCAGCCCCUGGCUUUGGGCUUGCCCACGUGUCUUGCUCUGGCCAUGGAAUGAAGCACAAAGGAGAGCCUGCUAGUUCCUAACCCACGCCUGAAGACGCCUUAGGCGGUUCUGCGGACCCCGUGCACUUCCACCUUCAGCCAGAAGGCCUUCUCUGGUGCAGCCGUUGCUUCAGCCUCGGUCCAAAAGGAUCGGAGCCCCCUGGCCGAUCCGCAGGCCUGCAGGGAGCCACAGAGCGCAGCGGCCGGCCCAGCGUUCAAGCCCAAGCACAGGCCUGCAAGAACUUUCUUCCAACUGCCGUUUGGGAUGGUUGAUUAGGACGCGUUGCUGUGGCGGUAGCUCACCAAUCCAAUGCAUGCACCCGCUCCUUUAUUAGGCUAUAGGGCCAGUGGCUGCGACAGGGACCUGAUACAACAGUGCGUUAAAUAAGGAGCUUAUUGAGCUAUCAUGUCAUAAGCCGGUGGAGAAGUCCAGGCCUAGUGUAGGGUCUCUGGCCGGGGCUGUAGCCUUCAUCCGCGUGGAACCUUCCCAUGGUUCGCAGGUCGCGGUCUUCGGAGCCUUCAGCCUCGUGAGCCCGAACAGUCCAUAGGGCGGCGCCAGACCCUCUUCCCAACGCCACCCUCUAAAGCCUCGGCUCCAACCGAUUCCACUUCUGCUUCAGGCUCAGGAUUUUCACUCUUCUCGAAUGGGGGUGGCCCUCCCCUGAUCUUCUGAAUCGCAACAGCAUCUCCCUCCCUCCAGGACAUCAGAGCCAGAGCUGGGCGAGAGGCCCUGACCUCUGGGGUAGGGUGGCAGCGUCCCCUUGAAGAUGCGGUCCCGCCUCCCAUCCCCAGGCGCCCGGCCUCUCACACCCUCAGCACCCUGCUCACCUCCAGCUGAAGAUGCCAGGGCACCUCUGCUUCCUCCCUGCUCUCUGCAGUACCGCAGAGUGAGCAUAAAAGGGCUUAAUACAGGCUUCGCCGGGCGCAGGGCUCCCGCCUGUAAUUCCAGUACUUUGGGAGACCAAGGCGGGAGGGUCACUUGAGAACAGGAGUUCAAAACCAGCCUGGGCAACAAAGUGAGGCCCGUCUCUAACAAAGACAAUGAGAAAUAAAUCUAAAAAUUGGAUAGACUGAAACAGGCAAUGAGGAAAGGAUUCCCUAUUUAAUAAAUGGCAUUGGGAAAACUGGCUAGCCAUAUGCAGAAAACUGAAACUGGACCCCUUCCUUACACCUUAUACAAAAAUUAACUCAAGGUGGAUUAAAAACUUAAACAUAAGAUCUAAAACCAUAAAAACCCUAAAAGAAAACCUAGGCAAUACCAUUCAGGACAUAGGCAGGGGCAAAGACUUCAUGACUAAAACACCAAAAGCAGUGGCAACAAAAGCCAAAAUUGACAAAUGGAAUCUAAUUAAACUAAAGAGCUUCUGCACAGCAAAAGAAACUACCAUCAGAGUGAACAGGCAACCACAGAAUGGGAGAAAAUUUUUACAAUCUACCCAUCUGACAAAGGGCUAAUAUCCAGAAUCUACAAAGAACUUAAACAAAUUUACAAUAAAAAAUCAAACAACCCCAUCAAAAAGUGGGCAAAGGAUAUGAGCAGACACUUCUCAAAAGAAGACAUUUAUGCAGCCAACAGACACAUGGAAAAAUGCUCAUCAUCACUGGCCAUCAGAGACAUGCAAAUCAAAACCACAAUGAGAUACCAUCUCACACCAGUUAGAAUGUCAGUCAUUAAAAAGGAAACAACAGGUGCUGGAGAGGAUGUGGAGAAAUAGGAACGCUUUUACGCCAUUGGUGGGACUGUAAACUAGUUCAACCAUUGUGGAAAACAGUGUGGUGAUUCCUCAAGGAUCUAGAACUAGAAAUACCAUUUGACCCAGCGAUCCCAUUACUGGGCAUAUAUCCAAAGGAUUAUAAAUCAUGCUGCUAUAAAGACAAAUGCACACGUAUGUUCAUUGCGGCACUAUUCACAAUAGCAAAGACUUGGAACCAACCCAAAUGUCCAUCAAUGAUAGACUGGAUUAAGAAAAUGUGGCACAUAUACACCAUAAUAUACUAUGCAGUCCUAAAAAAUGAUGAGUUCAUGUCCUUUGUAGGGACAUGGAUGAAGCUGGAAACCAUCAUUCUGAGCAAACUAUCGCAAGGACAGAAAACCAAACACCACAUGUUCUCAUAGGUGGGAACUGAACAAUGAGGACACUUGGACACAGGGUGGGGAACAUCACACACCAGAGCCUAUUGUGGGGUGGGGGGAGGGGGGAGGGAUAGCAUUAGGAGAUAUCCUUAAUGUAAAUGACGAGUUAACAGGUGCAGCACACCAACAUGACACGUGUAUACCUAUGUAACAAACCUGCACGUUGUGCACAUGUACCCUAGACCUUAAAGUAUAAUAAUAAUUAAAAAAAAAAAAAGAAUAAAAGAGGUCCCUUUUUCUGGGAGAUUGAUGUAGGGGAGCGAGCGUGUGAGUUGGAAGGGAGGCAUUGAGGAUCAGCCAUUUAAAGCAGCAUACAAGGAUGUUCAAGGCUCGAGAUCCACAGGUGUAUUUUCAGAACCUGAAUUUCCUGGCGGGGCACAGUGGCUCAUGCCUUUAAUCCCAGCACUUUGGGAGGUCAAGGUGAGCGGAUCACUUGAGGUCAGUUCAAGACCAGCCUGGCUAACAUGGUGAAACUGUUUUUACAAAAAAAUAUAAAAAUUAGCCGGGCAUGGUGGUGAGCACCUGUAUUCCCAGCUAUUCAGGAGGCUGAGGCAGGAGAAUCAUUUGAACCUGGAAGGCAGAGGUUGCAGUGAACCAAGAUCAUGCUACUGCACUCCAGCCUGGGUGACAGAGUAAGACCAUCUCCAAAACAAAACAAAACAAAAACCCAAAAUAGGCCGGGCGCGGUGUCUCGCACCUGUAAUCCCAGCCCUUUGGGAGGCUGGGGCGGGUGGAUCACCUGAGGUCAGGAGUUUGAGACCAGUCUGACCAGCAUGGUGAAACCCUGUCUCUACUAAAAAUACAAAAAUUAGCCGGGCAUGGUGGUGCAUGCCUGUAAUUCCAGCUACUAGGGAGGCUGAGGCAGAAUUGCCUGAACGCAGGAGGCAGAGGAUGCAGUGAGCUGAGAUUGUGCCAUUGCAUUCCAGACUGGGCAACAAGAGCGAAACUCCAUCUCAAAAGGAAAAAAAAGCAAAAGAGAAAAAACCCAAACAAACAAAACCCCUGAACUUCCCUGCGGGCACAUUUUCUCUGGCAGCCUUUUUCAAUGAGAGCUAUGUUUUCUCCGAUACUAUAUGGCCUGCGGACCGCUCAGCUUUCAUUCCAGUGAAAACAUUCCAGAACAAACUCCAGGUCGGUCCCAGGUGUUUCUCCAAUCAACUCAGGGCAUGGUUGUGUGUCACCUGCUGCCCAGCUAGAAUGACACCUCUCCAGGCCUCUGACUUAGCUAGGUCUCCACCAUGUGACUCCACCGUAGACUCCAUGCCUUCUUCUUUUGCAAAGCCUCGGACACCCAAACACCUACCAAAAGUGGGUAGGGUGCCAGGACACCUCCAAGUAUAAGUAGGGCUCCCCACCAUGCCUGGAUGUGGAGUUGUGCUGCAGAGUGGUGGCUGCUCAUGACAUUCAUUUCACCCCUUUCUGUGCAGGUGCUGGAAGCCCAGGAAGCACACAUCAAGGCUCCCUUGCCAGCAGGGUGCUGCCAAUAAAAGGUAGUCACGUGGAAUUUGGAAUGUGGAAAGGAGGUAGAAGUCAUCCUUUCCUCCCCUGUAGCAGCAGGCGUGCAGGCUCUGGUGGUCAGCUGGACUCCAUACUCCCCCACCAGUCACCAGCCUGGGGACCGUGGGGCUGCAAGGACCUCAGCAGCGGUGUCCCAAGUUUCCUGACUUCUUCCAUCCUCUGGAAAUCAGCUGUGGUAAAGUAGCCUGAAAGCCAGUGGUACAACCCCCUCCCCACAACCUUCACCACCUCUAGCCCCUCCAAUGAAAAGCACUAAUUGCCUAUAUACAACCCCUUUUUGUUUGAAAUAUCUAGAGUAAUUUCUGUUUUCCUAUCUGGGGUAGUGUAACGUAAGAAGAAAUAUACAUUUGGUCUCUGCCCCCGGUUCCUAACACAAAGCUCCUAAAACCCUUGGAAAUUCCUGAAAGAUGGGGGUGCUAGGAGCAUUGUCUUUUUUUUUUUUUAAAUUUAUCAUUUUUCUUUUCUCCCAGGUGUUUUUUCCUUUUUUUUUUUUUUAACUUUUAUUUUAGAUUAGGGGAUACAUGUGAACGUUUGUUAUAUAGCUAAACUUGUGUCACAUGGGUUUGUUGUACAGAUUAUUUCGUCACCCAGGCACUAGGCCUAAUACCCGAUAGUUUUUUUCUUUUUUUUUUUUGAGAUAGAGUCUCGCUCUGUUGCCCAGGCUAGAGGCACGAUCUCGGCUCACUGCAACUUCCGCCUCCCAGGUUUACGCCAUUCUUCUGCCUCAGCCUCCUGAGUAGCUGGGACUGCAGGUGCCUGCCACCACGUCCAGCUAAUUUUUUAUGUUUAGUAGAGAUGGGGUUUCACCAUCUUGGCCAGGCUGGUCUCGAACUCCUGACCUUGCGAUCCACCCACCUCGGCCUCCCAAAGUGCUGGGAUUACAGGCGUGAGCCACCGUGCCUGGCCAGUACCCAGUAGUUUUUUUGGCUCCUCUCCCUCCUCCCACCCUUCACCCUCAGGUAGGGCCCAGUGUCUGUUGUUCCCUUCUUUGUGUUUAUGAGUUCUCAUCAUUUAGCUCCCACUUAUAAGUGAGAACGUGUGGUGUUUGGUUUUCUGUUCCUUUCUUAGUUUGCUGAGGAUAAUGGCCUCAAGAUCCAUCUGUGUUCCUACAAAAGAGAUGAUCUUGUUCUUUUUUAUGAUUGCACAUCUUUUGUUCUAACGUUUGGUCCUUCACCUUGGUUCCUGACACAAGGAUUCCUAAAUCCCUUGGAAUUUUCUGCAUGAUAGGAGCGUCCUUUGUUCUCAUGAGGUGACUCUUGGUGGGCUCCUUAUUUGGGGACUGGUCACCAAAAAUACCUAACUAUGGUUGGAAGCUUAGUGCUUUCAGCCCCAUUCCCCAUCCUCUGGGGUGGGGAGCAGAGCUGGAGCUCGAUCAUGCCUGCGUGACAAAGCCUCCAGAAAAAUCCUUGAAAGACAGGACAUGGAGAGCUGCUGGGUUGGCGAACACAUCCAUGUGCCGGGAGGAUGGUGCACCCCAACUCCACAAGGACCCUUCCAGACCUCACCCUGUGUAUCUCUUCAUCUGGCUGUUCAUUUGUAUCCUUUAAAAUAUCCUUUGUAAUAAAUCAGCAAUAGUAAGUAAACUAUUUUCCUGGGUUUUGUGAGCUGUUCUAGCAAAUGGUC